UGGGGAAUAUUGGACAAUGGGCGCAAGCCUGAUCCAGCCAUGCCGCGUGAGUGAUGAAGGCCUUAGGGUUGUAAAGCUCUUUCACCCGGGACGAUAAUGACGGUACCGGGAGAAGAAGCCCCGGCUAACUUCGUGCCAGCAGCCGCGGUAAUACGAAGGGGGCUAGCGUUGUUCGGAAUCACUGGGCGUAAAGCGUACGUAGGCGGACCGUUAAGUCGGAGGUGAAAUCCUGGGGCUCAACCCCAGAACUGCCUUCGAUACUGGCGGUCUCGAGUCCGGAAGAGGUGAGUGGAACUGCCAGUGUAGAGGUGAAAUUCGUAGAUAUUGGCAAGAACACCAGUGGCGAAGGCGGCUCACUGGUCCGGUACUGACGCUGAGGUACGAAAGCGUGGGGAGCAAACA
rnacentral:rRNA from 1 species